rnacentral:rRNA from 1 species
AACGAACGCUGGCGGCAUGCCUAACACAUGCAAGUCGAACGAGAUCUUCGGGUCUAGUGGCGCACGGGUGCGUAACGCGUGGGAAUCUGCCCUUUGGUUCGGAAUAACAGUUGGAAACGACUGCUAAUACCGGAUGAUGACGAAAGUCCAAAGAUUUAUCGCCAGAGGAUGAGCCCGCGUAGGAUUAGCUAGUUGGUGUGGUAAAGGCGCACCAAGGCGACGAUCCUUAGCUGGUCUGAGAGGAUGAUCAGCCACACUGGGACUGAGACACGGCCCAGAAUCCUACGGGAGGCAGCAGUGGGGAAUAUUGGACAAUGGGCGAAAGCCUGAACCAGCAAUGCCGCGGGAGUGAAGAAGGCCUUAGGGUUGUAAAGCUCUUUUACCCGGGAUGAUAAUGACAGUACCGGGAGAAUAAGCUCCGGCUAACUCCGUGCCAGCAGCCGCCGUAA